rnacentral:misc_RNA from 1 species
GAUUAAGAACGUAGCGAAAUGCGAUAAGUAGUGUGAAUUGCAGAAUUCAGUGAAUCAUCGAAUCUUUGAACGCACAUUGCGCCCUUUGGUAUUCCUUAGGGCAUGCCUGUUCGAGCGUCAUUUAAACCUUCAAGCUCAGCUUGGUGUUGGGUGACUGUCCGCUUCACCGCGGACUCGCCUCAAAAUUAUUGGCGGCCGGUACAUUGGCUUCGAGCGCAGCAGAAACGCGAACUCGGGCCCGUCGUAUUGGCUCCCAGAAGCUAUCUUCACAAUUUUGACCUCGGAUCAGGUAGGGAUACCCGCUGAACUUAAGCAUAUCAAUAAGCGGAGGA